GACUUUGGGAAUAUCACUUUAGACCUUGUUUGACCUCAGAAGCUAAGCCAGAUCAGACCUGGUUAGUACUUGAGUAGGAGACCCAGAAAUACUGGAUGCUGUAGACU
rnacentral:rRNA from 1 species